rnacentral:rRNA from 1 species
CAGUCGCCACGGUAAAACGAAGGGUGCAAGCGUUAAUCGGAAUUACUGGGCGUAAAGCGUGCGCAGGCGGUUAUAUAAGACAGAUGUGAAAUCCCCGGGCUCAACCUGGGACCUGCAUUUGUGACUGUAUAGCUAGAGUACGGUAGAGGGGGAUGGAAUUCCGCGUGUAGCAGUGAAAUGCGUAGAUAUGCGGAGGAACACCGAUGGCGAAGGCAAUCCCCUGGACCUGUACUGACGCUCAUGCACGAAAGCGUGGGGAGCAAACAGGAUUAGAUACCCCCGUAGUCCCUGUCUCUUAUAC